AUUGAACGCUGGCGGAAUGCUUUACACAUGCAAGUCGAACGGCAGCACGGGGCAACCUGGUGGCGAGUGGCGAACGGGUGAGUAAUACAUCGGAACGUGCCCAAUCGUGGGGGAUAACGUAGCGAAAGUUACGCUAAUACCGCAUACGAUCUACGGAUGAAAGCGGGGGAUCGCAAGACCUCGCGCGAGUGGAGCGGCCGAUGUCAGAUUAGGUAGUUGGUGGGGUAAAGGCUCACCAAGCUAACGAUCUGUAGCUGGUCUGAGAGGACGACCAGCCACACUGGAACUGAGACACGGUCCAGACUCCUACGGGAGGCAGCAGUGGGGAAUUUUGGACAAUGGGCGCAAGCCUGAUCCAGCCAUUCCGCGUGCAGGAUGAAGGCCUUCGGUUGUAACUGCUUUGUUACGGAACGAACGGACGAGCUCUAAUACAGUUUGCUAAUGACGGUACCGUAAGAAUAAGCACCGGCUAACUAACGUGCCAGCAGCCGCGGUAACACG
rnacentral:rRNA from 1 species